GGAGGGUGUAGCUCAGUGGUAGAGUGUGUGCUUAGCAUGCACGAGGUCCUGGGUUCAAUCCCCAGUUCCUCCA
rnacentral:tRNA from 1 species